AAAUGACUCUCGGCAACGGAUAUCUCGGCUCACGCAUCGAUGAAGAACGUAGCAAAAUGCGAUACUUGGUGUGAAUUGCAGAAUCCCGUGAACCAUCGAGUUUUUGAACGCAAGUUGCGCCCGAAGCCAUUCGGCCGAGGGCACGUCUGCCUGGGCGUCACACAU
rnacentral:rRNA from 5 species